rnacentral:rRNA from 1 species
UACGUAGGGGGCAAGCGUUGUCCGGAAUCAUUGGGCGUAAAGCGCGCGUAGGCGGCCCGGUAAGUCCGCUGUAAAAGUCCAGGGCUCAACCCUGGAAAGCCGGUGGAUACUGUGAGGCUAGAGUCCGGAAGAGGCGAGUGGAAUUCCUGGUGUAGCGGUGGAAUGCGCAGAUAUCAGGAGGAACACCAAUAGCGAAGGCAGCUCGCUGGGACGGUACUGACGCUAAGGCGCGAAAGCGUGGGGAGCGAACAGG